rnacentral:pre_miRNA from 1 species
GUUAGGAAGAGGAAGAUAACAGGGCCUAGGUGUUGUAGGAAUGGGUACAUGGAGGAAGGCUUAAGCUAUGUUAUUGCUAAAAAAUGGAGGAUGAGACUUGAGUUUUCCCAAUUUCUCCCAUUCCUAUCGUUCUUAGGUGUCCAUUCCUCUUCCUAUCGUUC